rnacentral:rRNA from 1 species
AUGAUGAACGCUAGCUACAGGCUUAACACAUGCAAGUCGAGGGGCAGCAUGGUCUUAGCUUGCUAAGGCCGAUGGCGACCGGCGCACGGGUGAGUAACGCGUAUCCAACCUGCCUUACACUCUUGGACAGCCUUCUGAAAGGGAGAUUAAUACAAGAUGUUAUCAUGAGUAAGCAUUUUCACAUGAUUAAAGGUUUACCGGUGUAAGAUGGGGAUGCGUUCCAUUAGAUAGUAGGCGGGGUAACGGCCCACCCAGUCUUCGAUGGAUAGGGGUUCUGAGAGGAAGGUCCCCCACAUUGGAACUGAGACACGGUCCAAACUCCUACGGGAGGCAGCAGUGAGGAAUAUUGGUCAAUGGACGAGAGUCUGAACCAGCCAAGUAGCGUGAAGGAUGAAGGUUCUAUGGAUUGUAAACUUCUUUUAUACGGGAAUAAACGAAUCCACGUGUGGAUUUUUGCAUGUACCGUAUGAAUAAGGAUCGGCUAACUCCGUGCCAGCAGCCGCGGUAAUACGGAGGAUCCGAGCGUUAUCCGGAUUUAUUGGGUUUAAAGGGAGCGUAGAUGGGUUGUUAAGUCAGUUGUGAAAGUUUGCGGCUCAACCGUAAAAUUGCAAUUGAUACUGGCAGUCUUGAGUACAGUUGAGGUAGGCGGAAUUCGUGGUGUAGCGGUGAAAUGCUUAGAUAUCACGAAGAACUCCGAUUGCGAAGGCAGCUUACUAACCUGUAACUGACAUUGAUGCUCGAAAGUGUGGGUAUCAAACAGGAUUAGAUACCCUGGUAGUCCACACGGUAAACGAUGAAUACUCGCUGUAGGCGAUAUACAGUCUGCGGCCAAGCGAAAGCAUUAAGUAUUCCACCUGGGGAGUACGCCGGCAACGGUGAAACUCAAAGGAAUUGACGGGGGCCCGCACAAGCGGAGGAACAUGUGGUUUAAUUCGAUGAUACGCGAGGAACCUUACCCGGGCUUAAAUUGCAACCGAAUAUGGCGGAAACGCUAUAGCUAGCAAUAGCGGUUGUGAAGGUGCUGCAUGGUUGUCGUCAGCUCGUGCCGUGAGGUGUCGGCUUAAGUGCCAUAACGAGCGCAACCCUUGCCGAUAGUUACUAACAGGUCAUGCUGAGGACUCUGUCGGGACUGCCAUCGUAAGAUGUGAGGAAGGUGGGGAUGACGUCAAAUCAGCACGGCCCUUACGUCCGGGGCUACACACGUGUUACAAUGGGGGGUACAGAGGGCUGCUACCACGCAAGUGGAUGCCAAUCCCAAAAACCUCUCUCAGUUCGGAUUGAAGUCUGCAACCCGACUUCAUGAAGCUGGAUUCGCUAGUAAUCGCGCAUCAGCCACGGCGCGGUGAAUACGUUCCCGGGCCUUGUACACACCGCCCGUCAAGCCAUGGGAGCCGGGGGUACCUAAAGUGCGUAACCGCAAGGAGCGCCCUAGGGUAA